CAGGAAGUUUAAAACUCAGAAUAAACCCAGCCCAAAUAAGCUGAACUCAAUCCCAUCAAAAGUCUCCAGAACACAGGGAAGCCCAGGCUCCCCAUCCAUCCUCACUGACUGCUGAACUUUAAGCCAAUCAAAAGCCUCCAGAGGACAGGAAAGCUCAAACCCCCAACAACCCUCCCUCAGAGAUUACACCAAGAGAUCCUCUGUUAAAGCUCCAAGAGGGGAGACUGAUAGAAGUCCCUAAAAAACAAAAAAUGAGAGGAACAAGAGCACACACAAAUACAGGGAGGAAAGAAGGGGUGAAUUUGAACAAACAACAGAAACAGAAGAAAGAAACUACAAUAGACAGCUACUACUCACCAAAUGGAACAGAGGGGGAGAGAUCAGCAAACGAUAAACCAGAAAUCCCAGCGAAUUGGAUACAGGCUGUGGAAGAACUCAAAACACAACUAAGAGAGGCUGAAGACAAUUGGGAAAAGAACUUAAAAAUUAAGAUAAGUCAUCUGGAAACAGAGGCACUUGAAUUAAAACAAGAAAAUAGUGUCCUGAAAGCCAAAAUCAUCCAGCUGGAAAAUGAGGCAAAGGAGAUGAAAGAUGAGGCAAAGGAGAUGAAAGAUGAGGCAAAGGAGAUGAAAGACAAUCUUCAAAGAAACUCAGACCAGAAGGAAAAAGACGACCAAAAAGCCAAAGAUGAAAUCCAAUCUUUAAGAACCCGAGUAAAACAACUAGAAUCAAGUGACCUCACAAGGCAGCAGGACACUAUAAAACAAAACAAAAAGAAUGAAAAAAUUGAGGAAAAUGUGAAGCAUCUCAUUCACAAAACAGACGAUUUAGAAAAUCGUUCAAGAAGAGACAAUUUAAGAAUAAUUGGACUACCAGAAGACCACGACAAAAGAAAAAGCCUGGACAUAAUACUAGAGGAAAUUAUCCAGGAAAACUGUCCCGAAAUCCUAGAACAAGAGGGGAAAGUGGAGAUUGAAAGAAUCCACAGAUCACCCCCUGUUUUUAAUCCCCAACUGACAACACCAAGAAAUGUUAUAGCCAAAUUCAAAAACAAUCAGAUAAAAGAACAGGUAUUACAAGCUGUCAAAAGGAAACC
rnacentral:lncRNA from 1 species